GGUGCGAGCCUGCAGUGAAAUACCACUACCUUCACCGUUGUUUUACUCAUCGAGUUGCAAGAGAGCGGUGGCCAUUUGGACAUCGACCCUGCCCUUGUGGUGGGAUCGUGGCUUUCCCCGAUUCAUGCACCAAGUCUGCAGCAGUCUCUGUUGUGGACGACUCUGGACGUGUCACAGUCCGAUCAGCAGUCUCGAAACAUCGAUCAGUUGGGGAGUUUGGCUGGGGCGGCACGCCUUUUACAACACAACGAAGGCGUCCUGAAGCAUUGCUCAGGCAGAACAGAAAUCUCCCAGGGAGGAGAAGGCCAAAGGUGCUGCUGAUGCUGCGACUCUCAGUACGAGUCCGAAACGUGCAAUCGUGGCCUAACGAUCCUUUGGUCAAGUGUGCGAAUUCUGGAUAUCGAAGCCAGAGGUGUCAGAAAAAUUACCACAGGGAUAACUGGCUUGUGGCUGCCAAGCGUUCAAAGCGACGUCGCUUUUUGAUCCUUCGAUGUCGGCUCUUCCUAGCUUCCCACCCGCAGCCGAGUGGAAGAGUUGGAUUGUUCACCCACCAACAGGGAACGUGAGCUGGGUUUAGACCGUCGUGAGACAGGUUGGUUUUACCCUCCUGCCACAGA
rnacentral:rRNA from 1 species